ensembl:lncRNA
AAAAAUUAUACAUCUUCUGUACUGGAAGGGAUGGAAAAUACAGCAAUACUUAUACUUUUCUAGGAAGUAUACUUCUUCCCAGAGACCCUAGGAAAAGAAAUUUAUUUCAGAGAGAUCAGUGUAGACACACUAAAAAGCUGAAGGAGAUAGAAAAUGGGAAAAGAGAGUGAAAAUAAAGCUUGAAACUAGCUUGUAUUGUACUAGCUAUAUACUAUCUCUGCAGCCUUUAAAGCCUGUUAGAGUGUUUAGAAACACUUAGAAAUAAGGAUGAUCGGAGUAACCAGAGCUGAUGUUUGUUUUUGCAGUAGUCUCUCCUCCGCAGAGUUUCAUUGUCAUCACAAUGGAAAUGAGUCAAGCUUCUCCAUUUCUCUCCCCGUGGAUGCCAGCCCUUCAAAGAACUGUAAUUCCAUUUUAUCCAGUAAUGCACAGACCUGUCCAUGCUUCCUUCUAAGGUGACUCAUAAUAUGAGGCUGACCCUUCCCUUGGAGGUGAUAACCAGAGGAA